CCCCAGUUGUGGCAAAUCAAAAAUAAAGAAAUUUACAACAACAGGAAUUUAAAGAAUCAUGCUUACGUCGAGUUACUUAAAAUUUGGAAGAAGUUUGAUACCGAAGCCGAUCAAAAGACCGUAAAAUCAAAAAUUCAGUCACUAAGAGGAUCUUUCCGAAAGGAACUAAAAAAGGUUGAAAAGUCGGAGCGAUCCGGCAAAGGAACUGAGAAAAUCUACAAAUCACAUUUGUGGUACUUUAACUUAAUGAUGUUCCUAAUAGACCAAGAAUGACCAGCAGAGAGUAUCGAUAAUAUUACGUCCGUAACUCCAAAUCUGACUGAAGUUGGUGAAAGUCAGGAAGCUAAUCAAAAAGUAAAUGAAGAUACUGGGAGAAUAGAAGAUAAUGAAGGAAUAGAAGAAACAAAUGAGGUAAUGAACACACCAUCAGUUGUCGAAAAAGGGAAAAGGAAAUAUGCUGAAGAAAACGG